GCUAAGCCCUUAACAUUGAUAGCACCUUAUACCCUGCUUUCCGCCAGAGGACUACAAGUGAAAAACUUCAAACUCAAAGGACUUGGCGGUGUCCCAUACCAACCUAGAGGAGCCUGUCCUAUAAUCGAUACCCCCCGUUCUACCUAACCUCUACUUGCACCUUUCAGCCUAUAUACCGCCGUCGACAGUCUACCCCAUGAGGGUCUAACAGUAGACACAAUAGCUCGCCCGCUAACACGUCAGGUCAAGGUGUAGCACAUGUUGAGGAAGAGAUUGGCUACAUUUUUUAUCUUAAAAAAUACGAAAUGCAACAUGAAACCCUGCAUGAAGGUGAAUUUAGUAGUAAGAUAAACAAGAGUGUUUAUCUUAACAACGCUCUG
rnacentral:rRNA from 1 species